GCAGAUUGUUAAUGUGCUUGGCUGCUAACCAAAAGAUUGGUGGUUGGAGUCCACC
rnacentral:tRNA from 1 species